GAUGAACGCUGGCGGCGUGCCUAAUACAUGCAAGUAGAACGCUGAAGGAGGAGCUUGCUCUUCUGGAUGAGUUGCGAACGGGUGAGUAACGCGUAGGUAACCUGCCUGGUAGCGGGGGAUAACUAUUGGAAACGAUAGCUAAUACCGCAUGACAACAGUUAUUGCAUGAUAACUGUUUAAAAGGGGCAACUGCUCCACUACCAGAUGGACCUGCGUUGUAUUAGCUAGUUGGUGAGGUAACGGCUCACCAAGGCGACGAUACAUAGCCGACCUGAGAGGGUGAUCGGCCACACUGGGACUGAGACACGGCCCAGACUCCUACGGGAGGCAGCAGUGGGGAAUCUUCGGCAAUGGACGGAAGUCUGACCGAGCAACGCCGCGUGAGUGAAGAAGGUUUUCGGAUCGUAAAGCUCUGUUGUAAGAGAAGAACGAGUGUGAGAGUGGAAAGUUCACACUGUGACGGUAUCUUACCAGAAAGGGACGGCUAACUACG
rnacentral:rRNA from 1 species